UUUUCUCUUGUGAAUUGGCACUUAAGGCUUAAGCCGGAAAAAAAAAGCAUCUACUGACAAAAUAUGGGACUUGUCUGUUAUGCAUGGUAAGUGGGCUAUAAAAUCCAGGGAGGGGGUUUCAAGCCAGAAGAAGCUACUGACAAAUUGACUUGUCCUUAUGUUAGGUGGGGUUAUGAGGGGGAGAGGGAGGGCACAUUCUGAGGUGCUGGGGGAAAGGGGUUGAGCUUAACCUUGUUAAUGUAGGGCCUGUGGGGAAUGGGAUGGGUAGGGAGAAGAGGGUAUGGGAUGUGGGUGCAGGGUAGGGGCUGGAGUAGGCAGGAGGUCCCUCCCUACCCUGGCUUAGUCAUCUGAGAUGGAAAGUCUGCUGAAGAUGGGCAGGCGUCUUGAGUUGUCCAAGGUCGGGGAGUCUGAGCCACUGUGGCUGCUGCUGGAGCUGCUCAGGUAGCCCUCCUGGUCCGAGAGAGAAUCCUGAGGGCUGGGGGGAGAGUCAAACAUGUGAGGGGACUCGGACAUGGGCCGGAAGAGGAAGGUGGUCGGGGAGCCACCCCCGGGCAGCCCCAUGCUAGGGGCAAAGAGGCUUGCCAGCUCCUGGCUGGAGAAGGCAAAAGGGUUAUUGGUGCCAUCGGGCAGGGUAGGUGAGCCCAGGAGGUCAUCGGCGCUCAGAAUAGGGGGUGGGGUGAUGGACGUGGGGCUGUCCAGCAGCCCGGUGGCAGCGGCGGUGGCAGCGGCACUGGGAAACCCAGCAAAGCUAAAGCUAUGCUGGAGGCGGGGACGGUCAGCGGAGAGGUCCCGGGCCCCGGCCAGGGCACGGCGCUCUUCAGCGUUGUGGAUGAAGUGGCAGCGGGGCCCGUAGGGGCAAAAGCCGAUGGUGUGGAAGGGGCGGCACAGCUC
rnacentral:lncRNA from 1 species